UAGUGACGAUCACUAAUUUGUCCCUGUGUACACACACACACACCCACACCGCAGUCCCAGACUCGGUAGAUGUUGCAAUAGUCCAAAAGUCAGGGGAGCGUGAACGGGAAGUCGACACAGCGCACGCAUCGAGUCACGCGUCUAUUAUUUUCUCCUGUAUUUUAUGUUUUUAUAUGUGUGUGUGUAUACGUUACGUAGAGAGAGCCUUGGUAACUACCAACGACAGUUGCUCUACCCUUGGUCGACGCCAGGUGGUCCGAGGAGAAGAAAAAUACUGGGCAGAGAAACCAUCCAAAGCCUCCUUCUCUUUUCUGCUCAUAUCUUUUAACAGACUACGACUCUUGUUGCCCAGUGUGUAGCGUGACUCAGCCGUGGCGAGUAACCGGCGUCAGCAGCAGCCCCCCAAAACAUUUCGGUCGUGUGAACUAAUCGCAUCUUUCAAUCAAAAAUAAACGUUUCAUUGUUAUUUGUCGGAUUUCGACGGAAUGGCACGCGACGACUAAAAAGAAGAAUCCUCUCAACUGCUUUCCUUGGUAACUUUGGGAAAUGAUCCCAGCAGGACGACGACUAUCGACGCUAUUCUGAAGAUCCUGGAGAUUAUUCGGAAUCCAUGGAACUUGGAAUCGUCUUUCUCUGUAAGUUAAUUCUCGUUUGUCUUGAACACUCUGAAGAAAACAUUUUGCGGGUAGAAAACUUUCAACGAUCUCUGCUUACCGUCCGAAACUUUUUAUUAUUAAACUUGGAAAAAUUUUAUAAGGCAAUGAUGAAAUUUUUUCUUUAUUGUCUGUGGGGUGUUUCCGCCGGAAAAACGAUUUCGGCUCGCUUGAAAAGAUCCAUGCUUUGGCACGUUGCCGAAUUUCAUAUCGUCAACGUAAUGGAAAGUGGGAACAAAUAAGAACCAAAUACGAAGUAGUUUUUUUGUUUUUGAAAAAAAAUAUAAGCCUAUCAUUCAGCAAAAGGAUUUAGACUGUCAUUAUAAUCGUCGUGGUCGUCGUCACCGAAAGGAUUGGUAGGUUCCUCAUCCGCAAAAGGAUUUUUCGUUUCGUCAUAAUUAUCAUCCUUAAACGGAUUUUCCGGUCCAACUGAAAUUUUAUUCGCGCCAGUUUUACUUGGAGGUAAUUUGUUAACCUCCUGUUUUCUGAGUGACGUACUGAGGUCAGAUACUGCAGGAACUGCUCUCGUUCCUACAUAGUUUGGUACACUCGUGGCUGACUGCGAAGCCACCGUUUGACGGGGAAUUUCAACGGACGCAGUUUGAUAAUUUUUCUUUGUGGUUCCUUCCUGAAGUCGGUGUCUUGCUUCGGAGGUUGUGGUUGCCGCUGCGCUCGAUGCAACUCGUUCCGCUGCUCCAAUGACUUCAGCAUUUCGCAAUCGACCUUCAGUCACAUCUCUAGUAGGCCGAACCGACGCACUUUCCUGCAAUCUCAUACGACCUUCAUUUGCGAAUCCUAACAAUGAGGAAGAAAAAAACGAGUCAGUCUUGGGAUUUUGUGAAAACUGGGAAUGCUGAUAUCGCAGUAUAAUCAACCAAAACCGAAACGAUAGCAUAGAUUAAUAUAGAACUGUAUUCUGCUUAACGAAACAAAGAAAAAUUAUCUAUAAACAAAUUCCACUUAGAUAAUCACCUGUAGAACUUAUAGUGUUCUUUCCUUCAUUCUUACGCAGCUUUGCUUCAGAACCGGGACCAGCAUUCUGAGGACCCCAGGACACGGAUGGCAAUUCACUGCGAACUCCUUGGUGACCGGAAAUGGCUGACUCCCAGGAUGGCAAACUAUUGAAGACCCCACGACCAAAGUAAUCGGCAAGUACGGUGAAAGGGUCAUCUGCUUUUUCCAAUUGCCCAUGAAAGGCUUCGUGAAGAUCUUUGCUUUGUUCCUAUUUGUUUCGUAGCGUAAAGGAAAAUGAGAAAUGCAAAAUAAAACUUUCACAAUUGCUCAAAGCUUACCUGCGCCCGAACGAUAUCCAAAAUCCUUUUAUUUUCUGUGUGACAUGCUGGGCAUUCGUUUUCGUUGUCGGCAUAACUAUCGAAGCAACUAAUAAAGCAUCGUAAAAAGAUUA